UUUUUGUAUAUUUUUUUCAUAUUUUAAUAUUUUGAAAAAUAAUUUUAUAAAUGUAUCUGAAAAGCAUAUGCAAAAUCAUUAAAACAAAGUCUAUAUUAUUGGUGUAUUUGACAGAGGCAACAAGGCUUUGUUUUGUUUUAAGUUUUUCUUAAUUAAAGGAACACUAUAAGGUCAGGAACACAAACAUGUAUUCCUGAGCCUAUAGUGUUAAAUCCACCAUCUAGCCCCCCUGUCCCCUAAAUAUAGUAAAAUCUUAUUUUUAUUCAAGACUGCAGCUGCUGGCUCUGCCUCUGAUCUGCCUGCUUGGCUGACAUCAUCAGUGAUUAUCUGCGUCAAUAACAAUGCUUUCCCAUAGGAUUGACUGAGACUGUCGAAGAAGGCAGAUCAAGGGCAGAGCCAGCACAAGCCAAACACAACCCUGGCCAAUCAGCAUCUCUUCAUAGAGAUUCAUUGAAUCAAUGCAUCUCUAUGCGGAAAGUUCAGUGUCUCCAUGCAGAGGAUGGAGAUGCUGAAUGGUAGUGCUGCACACUGUGCCAUCUGAGUAGUGGCCAGUAGAGGUAUCCCUAGGCUGUAAUGUAAACACUGUCUUUUCUCUGAAAAGACAGUGUUUACUGCAAAAAGCUGUACUUGUUCUGGUGACUAUAGUGUCCCUUUAAACUUUGAUUUCUUAUCCCUUAAACUGAUUAACAAUUUAACAUUACAACUCCUUUUUAUAUUUUUUUCAAUAUUGUACACGGAUAUUGAUGUAUAUUUUAUUUUAUUGCUGAUAUUGUUUAAAAAGAAACUGGCACUUUUCCUAUAAUUUGUGUAUAUCCAAAAACAAUCAGGAAAUAAUGUGUUUACAUUAUAAGAGUAAAAGUUAAAAAAAAUGUAAAUAAUAAUUGUAAAUCAAUAACUCAAACUUUUACACACUGUUAAAAUGUCUAGUAUAGUGUUUUACUGUAAAAACAGACUAUAAAACAAUAAUUAUAGACAGAAUUAGUGUAUUUUCUUCAAAUACAUUAACGAAAAAGAUUGCAUUGAAAUAUUAAAAACAUGUGACUUAGUUCCAGUCUAAUGCUACAGGAGUGCCUGGUCUCCUGACUAAACUUGAAAAUUCAUCAGAUUGUUUUCUCACUUGCAUUAGAAGACUAGCCUUUAGAGGACUUUAACUUUCAUUGAAUUAUGUUUUAAAAAGUACGUCAAGAGGGGCUUGGCCUGGCAGCCAACUGAGACGGUCGCAUGGUGCUUGAGCUCCUCAGGGAAUAUCUUUUACUUAGCUGAAAAUUUAUUUUUUUGUACUCUUUUCGGUGAAUACCUUGCUCCCAACCCUGAGGGAUACCCUCUUAAUCUAUUGGCACUCUCUUGCUCGCAGCAAGUGGAUGCAGCCGGUGACAAUCUUACCUGCGGCCUGCAAAACCAGUAGAAGACAGGGAGGCGGACGAUCCUCGGCCUUGACCUGGUGCUCGCAUGCCUUGUGCCCCGUUUCCACCCGCCUUUGGAAUGGUGGGGGUUAGCCCGGUCCUCACAGAAGAUCUUGGCACAAUCAUCUAACAAUAAUCUAGUAUUCAAGAGCAAGUUGGAGAUUUGCGGCCUAACAGAUAAAAUGGUAGUCCCACCAAGGAUUGCCAAUAUGAAUGCCACCCAGCAACCCUCUACACUUGUGGAUCCGCUCCUCCUGAAGUUCAACCACAUCUGUGCCUUAUUAUGGGCAAAACUAUAUGCUAGGAGGCUUACCUCUACUCCUGCAGCCCAGAGCGCGGAACAAGCUCCCUUACUUUCAGCAUGACCAGCCUAUUUCAAGAUCCCUGCUCUCAUGCUACCAGCAGUGGGGGGCUGUGGGUGCGAGCUCUGGCUGAAGCCCGGGCUGUCACAACGGACAGCAUCAAUGCUGAACAGGGGCGGACUCGGACUCCAUGGCGGGACCUCAUAGGCACCUUUACUUACACGCACGACGGAUGGUUUCCUUACUUGGGCAUCGGCUAGAUGUGUGCUGGCUACUCCAUGUGUUCUGGGACUCUCCCAUGUCUUGCUGACACCAUAAUGAUGUCUGAGCCGCUCCAGCUCUUGAAUAGUUAAAUCUCUUGCUUGCCUUAAGCAUGCUUUUUUUCUCUCCUUUUGCAAUGCCUAAUCGCAGCCUAAGCUUUAACAUACAUGGCACGAUACCAAUAUAAUGCUAUAUAACUGGUUAAAAAGUUUUUCUAAAUGGUGCACUACUAUCGCAUGCCACACACUUGUUCUACUUUGUGAUCUCUGAAGCUUGUUUAUGCUGUUUGAGCCUGGCAGGCCUGUUUGUAACUAUCUGCACUGCAUAAAUAAAGAAUUUUAAAACAUUUAAAAAGUACGACAAGCCUAUGCAGAUGCAGGGCAAAACACAAGUUAGGUUCUUCCUAACCUAGUUACCAGCUUUAGUUUGAUAUUUAUUACACAUUUUAGGCAGUAAAUACUACGAUAGUGUAUCAAAUAGUGGUCAUUGAGUAGUUUAGGUCUAAAUGACAAGAAAGUAAGUGAUUAUAAUGGGCAGUAAGGAAACAUUUAUUGAGAUAGAAUCCAAUGGACUACAGGGAAAAUGUUUAAAACUAUUCUCUAGUUUACACCUAUCUUUCUUGGGGAGAUGACAGGGCCUGUCUAAUAAAAUCUAAUGGGAAAUUGAGCUACCAAGAUAUUAGCGACUGUGAAAAAUUCAGCAGUAGGCAGUACAGAAGUAUAGCAUUAAGCCCUAUAUUACACUUGAUAGAGCUUACAUCUAUAGACAAUAUUAUUCAAGAUCGAUUCCAUCUGAGUGUAUUAUUAGAAUAGCAAUCUUGUAGCAUUAACAUUACUUAUUGUUCACAGCAACAAAACAUCCAAAAAAAAAAAAAAAACACAUUUAUAUGAGACUCGGUGAGGGGUGGGUGUCAGACAACUCGUUAUGAUAUAUUAUGUAGGGAAUUUGGAGGUCCAGGGUAUCCAAAGCUCUUUCAGCCCCUUAGUUAGAGAUUCCAUCUUAUAUUGAAACCUUAUUUGCUCCAUUAUUUCUUGCCAAAGUGGUGGGUUAGGAGAUUUCCAUGCUCUAGCGAUAUUAAUUUUUAUUGCCAAAAAUAUAUGCGUCAUAAUGUAUUUUUGUUGUUUAUCAUUUGUUUUAUAGUCCAUAUUGAACAGAAACAUUUCAGGGCUAAUUGCUACCUCCUUAAAGAUAGUUUUCAUUAAGUCUAGCAUUUGAGUUUUGAUGUUAUUCAGGCCCGAACAGGCCCACCAUAUAUGUAGCAUAGUGCCCUCUUCUCUUUUACAUCUCCAGCAUUCCUUUGAAUAGGAUGGAGAUAUUUUAUGAAGUCUAACCGGGACCAUAUACCACCUAUAGAUAAUCUUCAAGUGCGUUUCAAGUAAGGAUAUAUUAUGUAUACUUUGUUUUACUAACAUUGUAGCAUUUGUCCAUUCUUUAAGUGGGAGGGAUUUCCCCAUAUCCCUCUCCCACUUACCAAAUGGAG